rnacentral:rRNA from 1 species
GAUGAACGCUGGCGGCGUGCCUAAUACAUGCAAGUCGAGCGAACAGAUAAUGAGCUUGCUCCUCUGACGUUAGCGGCGGACGGGUGAGUAACACGUGGAUAACCUACCUAUUAGACUGGGAUAACUUCGGGAAACCAGAGCUAAUACCGGAUAAUAUAUUCAACCGCAUGGUUCAAUAGUGAAAGACGGCUUUGCUGUCACUUAUAGAUGGAUCCGCGCCGCAUUAGCUAGUUGGUAAGGUAACGGCUUACCAAGGCAACGAUGCGUAGCCGACCUGAGAGGGUGAUCGGCCACACUGGAACUGAGACACGGUCCAGACUCCUACGGGAGGCAGCAGUAGGGAAUCUUCCGCAAUGGGCGAAAGCCUGACGGAGCAACGCCGCGUGAGUGAUGAAGGUCUUCGGAUCGUAAAACUCUGUUAUUAGGGAAGAAAAAAUGUGUAAGUAACUAUGCACGUCUUGACGGUACCUAAUCAGAAAGCCACGGCUAACUACGUG